rnacentral:rRNA from 1 species
CCUACGGGAGGCAGCAGUGAGGAAUAUUGGUCAAUGGAGGCAACUCUGAACCAGCCAAGUCGCGUGAAGGAUGACUGCCCUACGGGUUGUAAACUUCUUUUUUAAGGGAAUAAAGUGAGCCACGUGUGGCUUUUUGCAUGUACCUUACGAAUAAGGAUCGGCUAACUCCGUGCCAGCAGCCGCGGUAAUACGGAGGAUCCGAGCGUUAUCCGGAUUUAUUGGGUUUAAAGGGUGCGCAGGCGGGAUAUUAAGUCGGCGGUGAAAGUUUGCAGCUUAACUGUAAAAUUGCCGUUGAUACUGGUAUUCUUGAGUGUAUAUGAAGUAGGCGGAAUUUGUAGUGUAGCGGUGAAAUGCAUAGAUAUUACAAGGAACUCCGAUUGCGAAGGCAGCUUACUAAAAUACAACUGACGCUUAGGCACGAAGGCGUGGGGAUCAAACAGGAUUAGAUACCCUGGUAGUCCACGCAGUAAACGAUGAUUACUCGCUGUUUGCGAUACACAGUAAGCGGCUUAGCGAAAGCGUUAAGUAAUCCACCUGGGGGGUACGUUCGCAAGAAUGAAACUCAAAGGAAUUGACG